AAACAUGUCUGUAUGGUAGUUAUAUAGAGUCUGGCCUGCCCGUUGGGAAACUGAAAGGCCGCGGUAUUAUGACCGUGCGAAGGUAGCAUAAUCAUUAGUCUUUUAAUUGAAGGCUGGAAUGAAGGGUUGGACGAGAAAUAAGCUGUCUUUAUCUUAAAAAUUGAAUUUAACUUUUAAGUGAGAGGGCUUAAAUGGAUUAAAGGGACGAUAAGACCCUAUAAAGUUUAUAUGCUGAACUAAUUAAAGAUAAUUAGGAAGAGUAAAGUUUAUUAUUGGUUAGGCAUUUAGUUGGGGCGACUGAAAUAUAAGUUAAUUUAACUGUUUUUAAUUAAGGUCAAAGAUGUUUGAGUUUGUGAUCCCUUUUUAGGAUGAUAGAAUAAGUUACUUUAGGGAUAACAGCGUAAUUUUUUUUGAGAGUUCUUAUCGACAAAAAAGUUUGCGACCUCGAUGUUGAAUUAAAAGUUUCUUUGUAGUGCAGCAAUUACAAUAGAAGGUCUGUUCGACCUUUAAAUUUUUACAUGAUUUGAGUUCAGACCGGCGAGAGCCAGGUUGGUUU
rnacentral:rRNA from 1 species